AUACGUAGGGGGCGAGCGUUGUCCGGAAUGAUUGGGCGUAAAGGGCGCGUAGGCGGCCUGUUAAGUCUGGAGUGAAAGUCCUGUUUUCAAGAUGGGAAUUGCUUUGGACACUGAUGGGCUUGAGUGCAGGAGAGGUUAUCGGAAUUCCCGGUGUAGCGGUGAAAUGCGUAGAGAUCGGGAGGAACACCAGUGGCGAAGGCGGGUAACUGGACUGCAACUGACGCUGAGGCGCGAAAGUGUGGGGAGCAAACAGGAUUAGAUACCCUGGUAGUCCACACUGUAAACGAUGAAUGCUAGGUGUAAGAGGUAUCGACCCCUUUUGUGCCGGAGUUAACACAAUAAGCAUUCCGCCUGGGGAGUACGGCCGCAAGGUUGAAACUCAAAGGAAUUGACGGGG
rnacentral:rRNA from 1 species